CUCGGUGGGGGGCAUGGUCCCUCAGCCUGGAUUGCAAGAGGGUGCAGGCCAGGCUGAGGGACCCCACUGGUGCACG
rnacentral:pre_miRNA from 1 species